rnacentral:rRNA from 1 species
AUGCACUGGCUUUGCUGGUUCCUCCUUUCUGAAGAACUGUAAUGCCAUUAAUUUGGUGUUGCAGGGAAACAGGACUGUUACUUUGAAAAAAUUAGAGUGUUUAAAGCAGGCUAACGCUUGAAUACAUUAGCAUGGAAUAAUGAAAUAGGACGUUCGAUCCUAUUUUGUUGGUUUCUAGGAUUGACGUAAUGAUUAAUAGGGAUAGUUGGGGGCAUUAGUAUUCAAUUGUCAAAGGUGAAAUUCUUGGAUUUAUUGAAGACUAACUACUGCGAAAGCAUUUGCCAAGGAUGUUUUCAUUAAUCAAGAACGAAAGUUAGGGGAUCGAAGACGAUCAGAUACCGUCGUAGUCUUAACCAUAAACUAUGCCGACUAGGGAUCGGAUGAUGUUAAUUUUUUAAUGACUCAUUCGGCGCCUUACG